AUGUUAUCUUCCCUUGCUCACCAUUCCAAUUUUACUUGCAGACACUGGGCCUCCUGAGGAGCCAUACACAUGUCAGGAACUACAGCAGUCAGCUUUUAGGUCUUAUUCCAGCUGGUCCCCAAAGCUCAAAGCUGACAAGAAGGCACUAUUACUUCCCAAAUGCCUCUCCUUACCAACCCUGGAGUAGGUCAUUUGCAUCGGAUGGUGG